GGUGCGGCUGUGCCCGCGGCCUAUUAUUGGCACACGGAGGCGCCUUACAAAGUCUCGCGCUAUUCCGAGUUCGGCGGACGAUGUUGGCCAGCCCCACCCAAGGCUAUAGCCCACCCGUUUUUGUGGCAUAUUUCCGCAGGACGUACUUGGCGCCCCGGCCUUCGGGCGGUUAUUUUUUGGCACGGCUGUGCCCGCGGCCUAUUUUUGGCACACGGAGGUGCCUCGCAAAGUCUCGCGCCAUUCCGAGUCCGGCGGACGAAGUUGGCCAGCCCCACCCCCCAAGGCUAUAGCCCACCCGUUUUUGUGGCCUUUUUCCGCUGGACGAACUUGGCGCUCCAGCCUUCGGGCGGUUAUUUUUGGGCGUGGCUGUGCAUGUGGCCUAUUUUUGGCACAUGGAGGUGCCUCGCAAAGUAUUGCGCCAAUCCGAGUCCGGCGGACGAAGUUGGUCAGCCCCACCCCCCAAGGCUAUAGCCAACCGUUUUUGUGGGCUUUUUCUGCUGGACAAACGUGGCGCCCCGGCCUUCGGGCGGUUAUUUUUGGGCGCGGCUGUGCCC
rnacentral:lncRNA from 1 species